rnacentral:misc_RNA from 1 species
CUCUCUCUCUCUCUCUCUCGCUAAGCUAGUUUUUCUCUUAGCUCGUAAUGCGUCAGUUCUAAUGGCGGCUUGCCAUUUCGUUUGAUCUAUUUGCUAUUGUACUCCUGCUCAUUUAGGAUUUUUUCGCUCAAGUUUUCGAUUAUUUAUGUUAGAUUUUUGGUUGGCACCUGGAAAAAUAAUUAUUACAGUUUUGAUGUUCUUUGAUUUGCAAAAGAGCAAAGGUUUGCGUUAUUUAGCUCUGCAUUUGGUAGCUGAGAUAAUAAUAAUAAUAAAAAGGGUUCUGAGUUACGUCUUUUUAAACGAAAAUGGUCACUUGAAUAAGCUAAUUUGAUAUUCAUUUUGUGGGUUUAAUCAUUUACAAAUAUAUGCUUGGAUGUGCCGUGUAGCUUUACACUUUUUUUGCCAUUAAUCACUUUUUAGAAGUCUUUUGGUGAUAAUGCUAUGAAAUCUUCUCCUUUUUAGUUGCAUUUUUGUUGCACGUAAGCCUACUUGUCUGUUCUGAAGAUUACAUUUGCUAUGAAAUUAAUGUGUUUUGAAACUGAUCCUCCAGUGAUAUUCCAAAAGCUCAUUGUGUAGUAUAAGCUUUUUGAUUGUGUUUGAUGAAAAUAGGGGCUUACAAGUAUGUCUCUGAGUUGUGGAGGAAGAAGCAAUCUGAUGUGAUGAGGUUUUUGCAGAGGGUGAGGUGCUGGGAGU